GACGAACGCUGGCGGCGUGCUUAACACAUGCAAGUCGAACGGAAAGGCCCUGCUUUUGUGGGGUGCUCGAGUGGCGAACGGGUGAGUAACACGUGAGUAACCUGCCCUUGACUUUGGGAUAACUUCAGGAAACUGGGGCUAAUACCGGAUAGGAGCUCCUGCUGCAUGGUGGGGGUUGGAAAGUUUCGGCGGUUGGGGAUGGACUCGCGGCUUAUCAGCUUGUUGGUGGGGUAGUGGCUUACCAAGGCUUUGACGGGUAGCCGGCCUGAGAGGGUGACCGGCCACAUUGGGACUGAGAUACGGCCCAGACUCCUACGGGAGGCAGCAGUGGGGAAUAUUGCACAAUGGGCGGAAGCCUGAUGCAGCAACGCCGCGUGCGGGAUGACGGCCUUCGGGUUGUAAACCGCUUUCGCCUGUGACGAAGCGUGAGUGACGGUAAUGGGUAAAGAAGCACCGGCUAACUACGUGCCAGCAGCCGCGGUGAUACGUAGGGUGCGAGCGUUGUCCGGAUUUAUUGGGCGUAAAGGGCUCGUAGGUGGUUGAUCGCGUCGGAAGUGUAAUCUUGGGGCAUAACCCUGAGCGUGCUUUCGAUACGGGUUGACUUGAGGAAGGUAGGGGAGAAUGGAAUUCCUGGUGGAGCGGUGGAAUGCGCAGAUAUCAGGAGGAACACCAGUGGCGAAGGCGGUUCUCUGGGCCUUUCCUGACGCUGAGGAGCGAAAGCGUGGGGAGCGAACAGGCUUAGAUACCCUGGUAGUCCACGCUGUAAACGGUGGGUACUAGGUGUGGGGUCCAUUCCACGGGUUCCGUGCCGUAGCUAACGCUUUAAGUACCCCGCCUGGGGAGUACGGCCGCAAGGCUAAAACUCAAAGGAAUUGACGGGGCCCCGCACAAGCGGCGGAGCAUGCGGAUUAAUUCGAUGCAACGCGUAGAACCUUACCUGGGUUUGACAUGGAUCGGGAGCGCUCAGAGAUGGGUGUGCCUCUUUUGGGGUCGGUUCACAGGUGGUGCAUGGCUGUCGUCAGCUCGUGUCGUGAGAUGUUGGGUUAAGUCCCGCAACGAGCGCAACCCUUGUUCACUGUUGCCAGCACGUUAUGGUGGGGACUCAGUGGAGACCGCCGGGGUCAACUCGGAGGAAGGUGGGGAUGACGUCAAGUCAUCAUGCCCCUUAUGUCCAGGGCUUCACGCAUGCUACAAUGGCUGGUACAGAGAGUGGCGAGCCUGUGAGGGUGAGCGAAUCUCGGAAAGCCGGUCUCAGUUCGGAUUGGGGUCUGCAACUCGACCUCAUGAAGUCGGAGUCGCUAGUAAUCGCAGAUCAGCAACGCUGCGGUGAAUACGUUCCCGGG
rnacentral:rRNA from 1 species